rnacentral:lncRNA from 10 species
UUCUUAAGGCAAUGAGGGACAGACAACAGCUUUUAAUCAUGUGGACAAUGCAAUCAGGUUUCUUUUAAAUGGUGAGAAUCCAAAGAAAAAAAAACAGGGUAGAGAGGAAAUUCUUGACAGAUCAGACUGACUUAAUUUAGGUCCCCUUGGCCAGAGCCUGUUCAGGACAAGUGUUUACUCAAAGAAAUAGGGAGAGGAAGAUCCAGGCAGCAUGUUAUUCAUCUUAGAGAACACAAGCAGUCAAAACCUGAGACGUUGAAUUCUGCCGUCAAGUCCCAUUGAGUAGGAGAGUGAGGGACCAAGGAAGGAAAGAAACCGAGUCAGCCAGAUCAUAAGAUAGAGAGAAACAAGAGUGGGCAAAAGAGUGCACACCUACGCGCAUGCACACACACACACACACACACACACACACCAUCAGUUUUACUGGCCAUUGGCCAUGUGUGCCAGUAAUGUGUUGACCUGAUUUGAAGAGCCAAAGUUUCUGGUGGCAGGAAGCCCAGCCAAGACCAGGACAAGAUUCCAGGAGAGAAUCUCGAACCAAACCUGUGGAAGUCAGGAUGGAAGGGACAGGCAAACACUGCAACCAGGUCAAGAAAAAGAAUAUUGAUGCAAUCCAGAAGCUCCCUUGGACCGCCUGCCAAGACUCAUGAUGGUUUAGUUCAUCUAUGCCUGCUAAAUUUCAUGUGAGACUAUUACGAAGAAUGCCGUUUGGAGUAUUCUUGUACGUGCCUCUUGGUGCACAUCUACAUACUCUUCUGUGGUAUAUAUCCAGGAGGGGUAUUGUUGGGAAGAAGGAGAUACCAGAGAUCUGAGCAAGUGGAAUUUUGAGGCUGAAGUAAGAUAAUGAGAAGACCCAGAGAGAUUAUAAAAGAUGCAGAGUGAGAGAAUGGAAAGAGCCUUGAACCAGAAGUCAGGCUUGAGCUGAAAGCUCACAUCGCUCUUGUAAGAUGAAAAAAGCAGUUUGGUGAAAUUAAAGAAUGUGAACUUUGAAUUCAGCCUAUAAUUUGAAUCUUGGCAUCAAUAUUCCUCUGAUUGAUGACUUUGGGUAAGUUAGCUUCUCUGAAACUUUAAUUUGUAAUCCACAGAAUAACAU